rnacentral:rRNA from 1 species
AAUCUUUCGCAAGGGGCGAGACGCUGAUCCAGCUAUCCCGCGAGUAUGAUGAAGGCCUUCGGGUUGUAAAGUACUUUGUGCAGCGGAGAAAAGGUACCUCCUAAUACGAGGUACUGCUGACGGUAUCUGCAGAAUAAGCACCGGCUAACUACGUGUCAGCAGCCGCGGUAAUACGUAGGGUGCAAGCGUUAAUCUGAAUUACUGGCCGUAAAGAGUGUGUAGGCGGUUCGGAAAGAAAGAUGUGAAAACCAAGGGCUCAACCAUGGAACUACAUAUUUAACUGCCGAGCUAGAGUAUGUCAGAGGGGGGUAGAAUUCCACGUGUAGCAGUGAAAUGCGUAGAUAUGUGGAGGAAUACCGAUGGCGAAGGCAGCCCCCUGGGAUAAUACUGACGAUCAGACACGAAAGCGUGGGAAGCAAACA